rnacentral:lncRNA from 1 species
UAAAUACUGGUAUGUUGUUGUUGUUGAGAGAACAACUCGAUUCGACAACAAAUAAGUGAUAACGACAAAGUGGAAGAACAUGGAAAGUCAGACACUGCGAUUCCUCGUGAUUUUAUCUUGUGUUUUGAUUGGUGUAUUUUUAACCAAUGAGGUUAGAGGACAAAUAACAUUCUCCAAAGACUGGCAAGCAGGAAAGAGGUUUGAUGAUUGUUCGUCAACAUCUUUGCAUUUGUUGAUAAAGGUUUAUCAUCUUCUUCAGAAAGAAAGCGAGAAGCUGUUUAAGUGUAGACUCUCUACAUCAGAUAGGAUGUUACGAGUGGACUGAAACCUGGACACCAGAUGGCACUGUUUUUGUGUAGCUGACGAAAUUAAAUGACACAGUAUUAGGCUAAUAUAUUUAUAGUGUUUGUUUAAUUAUAUAAAACUGAAAGAUAAUCUAGGAUAUUUACAAAAUUUCUAGUUCUUUUUGGUUGAUCUGUAUAUAGUGCUAUUUAUUAAAUGCUAUAAUAAAUCUCAAUAAAGAUUACAUGAUAUACUAAGUACAUUCAUGGA